rnacentral:rRNA from 1 species
AACGAACGCUGGCGGCAGGCCUAACACAUGCAAGUCGAGCGCCCCGCAAGGGGAGCGGCGGACGGGUGAGUAACGCGUGGGAACGUACCCUUUGCUACGGAAUAGCCUCGGGAAACUGGGAGUAAUACCGUAUGUGCCCUUCGGGGAAGAUUAUCGGCAAAGGAUCGGCCCGCGUUGGAUUAGGUAGUUGGUGGGGUAAUGGCCUACCAAGCCGACGAUCCAUAGCUGGUUUGAGAGGAUGAUCAGCCACACUGGGACUGAGACACGGCCCAGACUCCUACGGGAGGCAGCAGU